CCUCUUUUUUCUCUCUGCAGGGAAGAAGAAGGACUAUGCAAAGGCUCCAAGCACGGACGGGGGAUCUGACAGCUCAACCACAGGGGACCCCAUCUUAAGAGCUUGAUAAGGGGACCAGCGCAUGGCUGGAUGCGGCCCCCUGCCCCUCACCGU